rnacentral:lncRNA from 1 species
ACACGGUCGUGCACGCUGCUCUUUUUCCUCUCCGUGUAUCCGGAAGAUGGUUCCGAAUCAACUGGAUAGGAUUUUUAAUUUCCGAAGGCACGAGCUCCCCUGGCAUCCGCAAAUGUGACCCGCAAUUUAGAGAGGAAGAGGAGCGCAGACCCUACCUGUCCGGAGUAACGGUCAGGAGAGAGGUGGGGAAGGGCUGGGCCCCUCUCGGUGUCCCGGGUUCCCGGCAGAAGUCUCCAGGGCUGAGGGAGUCUGCAGACACGGAGUUUCCGUGCCAGAGGAGCGGGUCCACGCGGACAGGCAGUUCCAGCUCCGGGACAUACUUUAUUCAGCUGGGUGCUGAAAAAGAAUCUUGGAAAUUAGGAAACUGAAUGAGGCCUCAUUUCACACUCAGAAUGUGGGUUGCAAUAGUCACUUCCUCUGCUGCUGGGAAAGAAAGAAUUAUACUACCUUUUGAAUUUUGGAUUAAGGAGAGAGGUGUUGGCUUGUCAAACUACCAUGUAUUCCUCAAGACAUAUUUUUGUGGCUUUAUAAAAUUCAAUAUAUAUGUCUAAAUUCAAAAAUAUUUUGUUGCAAUCUGGCCCUUGGACAAACUGAGGCCCUAGCAACUGAUGUUUAUGGCUUUCCGUAGAACCUUUCAGAUAAAAUUUACACAGCAUUUUACUGCAGCUAUUUCACACAAAGCAGAGGAUUUUGCCACAAAACUGAAAGAAAAAAGAAACUGCAUUCUUAAAUUUUUCAUAAAUCAAAAGGUAUAAAAAUAUCUACCUAAACGAUAAAGGAGAUGAGAAACCCCACCCAUGAUGGGAAGAAAGCCUAUUUCAGUUUUGCCUUUACUUCAAGUUCUUUUUUCCAUAUCUGGAAUGCAAUCAGAAUUUUAAUCUUGCCUUGGGUUCCUCCUGGAUUUGGGGAGAAGACAAAACCUGAAAAUCUCUAAUCUGCAUGUGUUCAGCUGCGUAUCUUCUGGAUACGGAAGGAUCACACUGCACAGAGUGCUGGACUUGCAGGAGCCCCGCUUCUCAACCUCCAUCGCUUUAUGAAUGAAUUCACCAGAAAGAAAAGGAAGAAUCAACACUUUCAGAGAUGGAGCCUGUUGAGCCACAGUACCAACUAGUCAAUGCUGAAUCGACUUCUCCCUUUCUACAUUGCCUGAGAGAAGUCAUUGGGGAAUACUCUGUACACGAAUUUUCACUGUUGGGGAAAACAGAGAGUCAAGGGAUUGGAUUGUGGAUUGCAUUGGUGGUUUUCCUCAGUUUCCUCAUCUUCUCCACAAGUUUCUACAUAUCGAAUGCAGAGCAGCCCUUCUUCAAAGGACCUCCUACGGAAGCUGCUAAGGAACUCAGUCUGUAGCUCUGCGUGGAGCCAUGUGUAAACACUGAACUGAGACCUGCCACCUCCUACUACCUAAGGGCCCAUUUUCAUCUGAUAUCAUCCCCCAGAAACAAACUCAUGAUGACUUCCAUGUUUUUUUUAGAUUAGAUACAUGGAGAAUUUUCCUUUCCCUUAGAAUUAAAAUCCUGCAUUCUAAUUUUCAGUAAGCUUUUUUAUUUCUGAAUAAUUUUAAAUUUAAAGAGAAGUUGCAAAGAUAGUAUAGAAUGUUCCCUUAUACCUGUUUUUAUUUAGAGUGAUGUUCCCAGGAGAAAUGAUAAUGCAGCAAUGGACAAGAACAGGAACAAGAGACAGUCUUACCAUCUUCUUACAAUUUAUAGAUGGGACAGUGGAAAGAGAAGCCACAUCGGGGUUGGGCAUGCAGAGACCUGGUCCUAAAUCUGUGUGACUUUUGCGAAAUCCUUUUGCCUCACAGAGCUCUAGGUUCUUAUCUGUCAAACAGGAACCAGACCAUCAGAUCCGUAGAGAUCCAACCAAUGAAGGAGACUUCGAAAACUUCACAUUGCCGUGUCAAUGUGAGGUUGCUGGAUGGUUAUGACAAGAAAUCACAUUAAAUUCACUGGGGUAACAUUGUUCAUGAAACGGGAUAAUGUGUUUCAGCGAUGAACCACCCAUGGCCUUACUACAGACAUAUUUCCACUUUGAAAAUGUGUGUGAGUGUACAUGUCUGUGUGUGAGGCAGAGAUUAGAAAGUGUAAAUGUGUGCGUUUUCAUUUUACACAUCUUACAUUUUCCUUUAAUUUGUUUGAAAGCCUGUUUUGUUUGUGGCUUCCAUUCCUGGAAGUCCCAUGAGUUGUUAGUGGUGAAGAUGGAACAGAUGUGUCCAACCCGGGGGACUCCUGCCCUCAGGGACUGAGCAGCUGCAAACCUCUCUCUCAUCUGAUUCCACUGUUUCUUCCACAUGUACACAUCAUGAGAAAUAUUGUUCAAUCAAUAUCUUCCCUUAAAUCAACUCAUAUGCUUAUUUACAUGAAUUUACCUAAAACAGAAACUUGAUAUCACUUCUGUAAAUGAAAAAAUUAAACUUUCUGGCUUUAAAUAA